GACGAACGCUGGCGGCGUGCUUAACACAUGCAAGUCGAACGGAAAGGCCCUGCUUUUGUGGGGUGCUCGAGUGGCGAACGGGUGAGUAACACGUGAGUAACCUGCCCUUGACUUUGGGAUAACUUCAGGAAACUGGGGCUAAUACCGGAUAGGAGCUCCUGCUGCAUGGUGGGGGUUGGAAAGUUUCGGCGGUUGGGGAUAGACUCGCGGCUUAUCAGCUUGUUGGUGGGGUAGUGGCUUACCAAGGCUUUGACGGGUAGCCGGCCUGAGAGGGUGACCGGCCACAUUGGGACUGAGAUACGGCCCAGACUCCUACGGGAGGCAGCAGUGGGGAAUAUUGCACAAUGGGCGGAAGCCUGAUGCAGCGACGCCGCGUGCGGGAUGACGGCCUUCGGGUUGUAAACCGCUUUCGCCUGUGACGAAGCGUGAGUGACGGUAAUGGGUAAAGAAGCACCGGCUAACUACGUGCCAGCAGCCGCGGUGAUACGUAGGGUGCGAGCGUUGUCCGGAUUUAUUGGGCGUAAAGGGCUCGUAGGUGGUUGAUCGCGUCGGAAGUGUAAUCUUGGGGCUUAACCCUGAGCGUGCUUUCGAUACGGGUUGACUUGAGGAAGGUAGGGGAGAAUGGAAUUCCUGGUGGAGCGGUGGAAUGCGCAGAUAUCAGGAGGAACACCAGUGGCGAAGGCGGUUCUCUGGGCCUUUCCUGACGCUGAGGAGCGAAAGCGUGGGGAGCGAACAGGCUUAGAUACCCUGGUAGUCCACGCUGUAAACGGUGGGUACUAGGUGUGGGGUCCAUUCCACGGGUUCCGUGCCGUAGCUAACGCUUUAAGUACCCCGCCUGGGGAGUACGGCCGCAAGGCUAAAACCCAAAGGAAUUGACGGGGCCCCGCACAAGCGGCGGAGCAUGCGGAUUAAUUCGAUGCAACGCGUAGAACCUUACCUGGGUUUGACAUGGAUCGGGAGUGCUCAGAGAUGGGUGUGCCUCUUUUGGGGUCGGUUCACAGGUGGUGCAUGGCUGUCGUCAGCUCGUGUCGUGAGAUGUUGGGUUAAGUCCCGCAACGAGCGCAACCCUUGUUCACUGUUGCCAGCACGUUAUGGUGGGGACUCAGUGGAGACCGCCGGGGUCAACUCGGAGGAAGAUGGGGAUGACGUCAAGUCAUCAUGCCCCUUAUGUCCAGGGCUUCACGCAUGCUACAAUGGCUGGUACAGAGAGUGGCGAGCCUGUGAGGGUGAGCGAAUCUCGGAAAGCCGGUCUCAGUUCGGAUUGGGGUCUGCAACUCGACCUCAUGAAGUCGGAGUCGCUAGUAAUCGCAGAUCAGCAACGCUGCGGUGAAUACGUUCCCGGGGCUUGUACACACCGCCCGUCAAGUCAUGAAAGUUGGUAACACCCGAAGCCGGUGGCCUAACCGUUGUGGGGGAGCCGUCGAAGGUGGGACUGGUGAUUAGGACUAAGUCGUAACAAGGUAGCCGUACCGGAAGG
rnacentral:rRNA from 1 species